rnacentral:tRNA from 6 species
GGGUCUGUAGCUCAGGUGGUUAGAGCGCACGCCUGAUAAGCGUGAGGUCGGAGGUUCAACUCCUCCCAGACCCACCA